rnacentral:tRNA from 1 species
GCCUAAGUAGUUUAAGUAAAACAUCAACUUGUGGCGUUGGAGAUAUAAUUUUAUUUUGGGUC